AUUGAACGCUGGCGGCAUGCUUUACACAUGCAAGUCGAACGGUAACAGGCCGCUAGGUGCUGACGAGUGGCGAACGGGUGAGUAAUGCAUCGGAACGUGCCCAGUCGUGGGGGAUAACUACUCGGAAGAGUAGCUAAUACCGCAUACGAUCUAUGGAUGAAAGCGGGGGACCGUAAGGCCUCGCGCGAUUGGAGCGGCCGAUGUCAGAUUAGGUAGUUGGUGGGGUAAAGGCUCACCAAGCCAACGAUCGGUAGCUGGUCUGAGAGGACGACCAGCCACACUGGGACUGAGACACGGCCCAGACUCCUACGGGAGGCAGCAGUGGGGAAUUUUGGACAAUGGGCGCAAGCCUGAUCCAGCAAUGCCGCGUGCAGGAAGAAGGCCUUCGGGUUGUAAACUGCUUUUGUACGGAACGAAACGGCUCUGGUUAAUACCCGGGGCUAAUGACGGUACCGUAAGAAUAAGCACCGGCUAACUACGUG
rnacentral:rRNA from 1 species